GACGAACGCUGGCGGCAUGCCUAACACAUGCAAGUCGAACGGAAACGUCGGGCCUGGUGGGUCCCGGAGUCGUGAACGGUUGAGUACUACGCUGGGGAUCUGCCUUACACCUCGGGAUAAGUGCGGGUAACGGGGUCUAAUAUCGGAUAGGAGCCAUCUCGACUUUGGUUGUGGGAGAGUUGUUUUGGUGUAGGAUUAGGUCGCGGCCUAUCAGCUUGUUGGUGCGGUAAUGGUCUACCAAGGCGGCGACGCGAAGCCGGCCUGGGAGGGUGGACGGGAACAUUGGGACUGGGAUACGGCCCAGACUCCGACGGGAGGCAGAAGUGGCGAAUAUUGAAAAAUGGGCGCAGGCCUGAUGCAGCGACGCCGCGUGGGGGAUGAAGGCCUUCGGGUUGUAAUCUCAUUUCGCUAGGGACGAAGCUUUGUGUGACGGUACCUAGAUAAGAAGCACCGGCUAACUACGUG
rnacentral:rRNA from 1 species